UGGUCUUGAAUUCCUGGCCUCAAGUGAUCCGCCUCCCUCGGCCUUCCAAAGUGCUGGGAUUAUAGGUGUGAGCCACCGCGCCCGGCCCUAUCCUGCACCUGCCUUACGUUGCACUUACUUGUUGCUUACAAGUGUCAGAUAAGUACUGAGCACUUUAUUUGAAUUACUAAAUGAUCCAAAAAGCUCUAGGAGAAACGUUUACUAUUAUCCCACUGUUGCUGAUGAAAAAUGAGACUCACAGAGAGAUUUUUUAUCCAAGGGUAUGUAUGUAACUAAGUGGGAGAGCUGGGAUUUGAACCCAGACUCCUGACCCUAUAUUCCUAGUCUCUGUGCCAUAGUUCAUUGCUGUGAUAGGCAUGAAAAAUAAAUAAGAACCAGUCUUCCCUCAGAUAGCUAAUGGUCUAGUGGCAGAGAUAAAUAAUAAAGGAAAAUAAUUAAAGAUGAUGAUUGUUGUGGAAAGAACAUACAGGGUAUUAUGAGAGACAAUAUUGAAUUGGGAGUAUCAUUUUAGAUAAGGUAGAAAUGAGAGCAACAAAAUUUGGGAACUGGAAAUAGCAAAUGACUUAGACUGCAGAAAGCUGAAUAUUCAAGUCAGCAGUAGGAAAAAGCUGUGAAGCAAAAUUGAAGGCUCACAAUAUUUCUAAAGAAGGUAGAGAAUGAAGUUAGGGCGAAAAGGAAAAGUUUGGUUCAAAAGUCUGUUUCAGUUACAGCCCUCCACUGCCCCCUCACAAUAUCAAAUAGCCAGGUGACAGUUCUUUUCCUGUGUGGUACAAGACCCUACAUUUGUUAUCUUGCAGGCAAUACAAGAGGGCCUCUGACCAGGGGACCCUAGACAGAACAGGAGCAGGGAAUACUGGAUGGAAAAGAAAGGAUUCUGAAUGUUGAGUCUUCAGCCUUUCUUCUCAUUGUACAGUUUUGGUAGCCAGGCUUAUAUUUAUAUCCCCAGGGGUCAGAAUGGAAGAUUCUUCUCUGGGGAAUCUGACUGCCAAAUUGUAAGGACCCAAAGAUAAUGAUAUUGGAGGUUUCCUGUGUAAAUUAUCUAGCAAGAUUGCCAUACACAGAAACACAAAGUUGACAAGCUCCGCCUAUGAGCACAGAACCUCUGAUUAAUUAUUUUAUGCCUUAUUUUAAAAUUUGAGCACAGGACAGUUUGUCAGGCAUCUUCAGAAAACCUCAUGAGAGAGCAAAACAAACAGAAAAAUCAAUUAUGACAAUUAUUCACAGUUAAAAGCUAAAAGAUGGUUUUAUCUAUGAGACUAGAACAAAUUUCUAUUUAAAGACUUAGAAUAAGAGCUUUUGGAAGUAACAUGAUAAUAGAAAUAGAAAAAAAGCAAAAGAAAGGUUAAAAGAAAUGUAACAUUUCCAAAGGGUAAAACAAAAAAGAGUUGGAAGAUAGGAGAAGAAAAGUAAGAAAAGUAGACAUAACCCAAGAGGUUCAAAUUCCAAAUUACAGGAGUUCAGAAAAAGAUAAUAAAGAAGACAGAGGAAAGAAAAUAAAGAAUUAAUUCCAGAAUUAAGGAUCUGAUUUUCUGAAUUGAAAGGGUCCGGCACACGGGUUGAAAUACCCACACCAAGACAUAUUUUUAUGAAUUUCAUAACACUGGGGACAAAGAGAAACCCAUAAGCUUUCAGAGGAAAAAGACAGGUCCCAAAGGGUCUAGAAUCAAAGCACUAGAAUGCUUUGUACUUCUCAAAGCAACAAUGGAAGCCACAAGGUAAUGAAGCAAAAAGCCUUCAAAAUUUGGAGGGAAAACUAUUUCAAUCAGAAUUCCAUAAGCAUUUAAACUAGCAAUUAAACAGAAAGGUUUGUAAACAUUCAGGCUAUUGAAAAAAACAUGUAUAUACCCUUCCUAGGGAAAUGAGAAGGUUUUUGACUAAAAUGACAGUAAAGCUUGAAAGAAAUCAAGGGAUCUGGGAAACAGGAGCUUCAACCCAAAACAAAGGUGAAAGGAAUCCCCAAGCAUAUAACACGGAAUGUUCCAGAAUGACACCCAGCACAGAAAGAAAGAUCUACACUGCAACAGGCUAGAAUGUCCCAGAGGGAUUCAAAUAGACAAAUUAAUUUUGGCUGGCUCCAUAUUUAAUAUUUAUUGAAACUAUGUAAAUAAUAGUCAAUGAACUAUGUCAUAUAAUGUGUUUUUUUUUUUUUUUUUUUUAGACAGCAUCUCACUGUCACCCAGGCUGGAGUGCAAGGGUGUAGUAAUCAUAGCUCACUGCAGCCUCAACCUCCCAGGCUCAAGUGAUCCCCCUGGCUCAGCCUCCCAAGUAGCUGGGACUACAGGUGCAUGCCACCACACCUAGCUAAUUUUUUUUUUUUUUUUUUAGUAGAAACAGGGCCUCAUUAUGUUGCCCAGGCUGGUCUGAAACUUCUGAGCUCAAGCAGUCCUCCUCCCUUAGCCUCCUAAAGUGCUGGGAUUACAGGUGUGAACUGCUGCACCCAGCCUACUAUACUUUUUCUUGUGUAUUUUCCUCGUGGUUUCCAUGAGAUAAACAACUUUUUAUUUGCUCAAUUUUUUUUUUUUUUUUUUUUUAAGAUAGAGUCUUGCUCUGUCACCCAGGCUAGAAUGCAAUGGUGUGAUCUUGGCUUACUGCAAUCUCCGCCUCCUGGGUUCAGGCGCUUCUCCUGCCUCAGCCUCCUGAGUAGCUGGGAUUACAGGUGCCCACCAUUGUGCCCAGCUAAUUUUUGUACUUUUAGUAGAAACAGGUAUCACCAUGUUGGCCAGGCUGGUCUCAAACUCCUGGCCUCAAGUGAUCUGCCUGCCUCAGCCUCCCAAAGUGCUGGGAUUACAGGUGACAGCCACUGUGCUCAGCCUCAGGAUUACUGAUUUCUAGUAAGACUGUCCUACAGAAGAUUCUGGCAAUGGUAUAUUUAUCCCUGUAGCAAUUCAGUAUGCAUUCCAAACACUUCAGGGCUGAUUGCUGACGUUUUGAAAGUCACUGAAGGAAACAAAACAAAACAAAAAAACAAAAAAAAAAAACCGUGAAUUUAUCCCAGGUAGCUUUCCUUCUUGUUCUCAACUUCCUUGUUAAUUUACCUGUCACCAUCCUACAAGGUGAAUCUGAAGAUUGCUUUGUUUACAUGACACAGUUGGUUACUGUGAAUCCAGUUUUGAAUGGGCUACUUUAUUGCACACAACAGGAGGAGGAGGAGGAUGAUUUAUUUCUUCUUUGAUCUGACACACUGACACUACUUAACCAGAAUGUGAUUCUGACAACCCCCUAGGGCUGCUGCAAAUGAAUUUAAGUGGGUUUCAGAAAAGAAAAAGGAAUUCUUGACUACCUAGAACCUUUCGCAUAACUAACAUUUCCUUUCAUAUUUUCUCCUCUUGGGCUUAAACGUUUUUAAAAAAUAAACUUAGCUUAUUUAAUAGAUGAUUAAGGAAUAAUUCAUUUUUCCCUUUUAGAAUGUCAUAUGUAUAUACACACCUGAUACUUUUGUUGAAUUUCCAUCCUCUAUUGCUGUCUUGCCUUGCCAAAAGCAAAGACAGUCAAUAAUUCAGUUACUCUAGAUGUCUUGCCAUGGGUAAAAAUGUUAAAUUUGUACACAGCUUUUAAAUUCUGCCUUAUGGACUCGUUUCUUCCUCUGAGGACUGUUAACUGGGGAGAACAGGGCUAGAAUAUAGAACCCCAGCUCUGUAAGUCAAGAUGAGCCAAGGCAGGUCUAUUAAUUAAACCAUAUGAAAGUUACUUCUGGCUAGAAAUAACAGAUACUUUAAGAUAUUUUGUUUAUCUGUUUCUUAAAUAAAACCAAUCUGGGUGGCUGAUACACUCGAACAUGGGUCCAAAAUCCACCCUCUCUGGCUGGAAUGUGUCUUCCAAAUUCAAAACUUACUCAGGUUUAAGUACAAGUAGUAAUCCAGGAAAUUCCAUCCCAUUUCCCCAUCUUUGGCAUUUAGGAAAGGGCAGUGGGUUGACUCAGGCAUGGAAAACACAGUGCCUUUGUUAGCAGAAUUUUUUUUAGUGUUCAGGCUCAUGUUGACAAUUCCAAAUUGUGAUAAAUGACAGAGCCAAGGAUAAAGAAACAAGCUAAAUGGAGCAGAGUAGAGCUAUGCCUUUUAUACUUGGCCAGUGCCUAGUAGCCUUGGUCCAAGCUAAAGGGUCUAUUUCCUGUCACAAACUGAAAAAUAUUUCUUAAAGAUAUGGAAAAUUAAAAAAAUCUAAUUAGGAAUAUUUGGUUAGAAGACCUUGAUUAUAAAGUCUUUUCAUACCUUGAAACUUAUAAUAGUUUUUGUUUUCCUCAUUCUCUCUCCUUUCAGUUCUUUGCCUGAUCACUUUUUUUUUUUUUUUUUUUUUUUUUUUUUUUUUUUUGAGACAGAGUCUCACUCUGUUUCCCAGGCUGGAGGGCAGUGGCACGAUCUCGGCUCACUGCAACGUCUGCCUCCCGGGUUCAAGCAAUUCUCCUGCCUCAGCUUUUCGAGUAGCUGGGACUGCAGGCACCCGCCAACAUGCCCAGCUAAUUUUCUUAUCUUUAGUAGAGACGAGGUUUCACCAUGUUGGCGAAGCCGGUCUCGAACACUUGACCUCAUUAUCCACCCGCCUCGGCCUCCCAAAGUGCUGGGAUUACAGGCAGGAGCCACCAAGCCCAGCCUGCUUGAUCACUUACUAAAAAGACUUGUCCUCCUAUAAAACUUUCCUUCCUACCCUUGCCUCCCCUGCCAAAAGUCAAUAUAAAUUAGAAAUGGUUGUAGUAGUAGGUGUGGUCUAGAAAGAAAGUACUAUAGUAAGAAAUCUAAAAGAAUCCUGAAACCAACAAAUACUAUCUAUUGCAGCAGUCCCCAACCUUUUUGGCACCAGGGACCAGUUUCAUUAAAGACAACUUUUCCGUGGACCGGUUUGGUAGGAGUGGGGAGAUGGUUUUGAGAUGAUUCAGGCACAUUACAUUUAUUGUGUACUUUCUUUCUAUUAUUAUUACACUGGAAUAUAUAAUGAAGUGAUUAUACAACUCACCAUAAUGUAGAAUCAGUGGGAUCCCUGAGCUUGUUUUCCUGCAACUAGAUGGUCCUUUAUGGGGUUGAUGGGAGACAGUGAAAGAACACCAGGCAUUAGACUGUCCUAAGGAGCAUGUAACCUAGAUCCCUCGCAUGCAGAGUUCACAGUAGAGUUUGUGCUCCUAUGAGAAUCUAAUGCCGCUGCUGAUCUGACAAGAGGCUGAGCUCAGGCAAUAAUGUGUGAGUGAUGAGGAGUGACUGUAAAUACAGAUGAAGCUUUGCACACUCCCCUGCCACUCACCGUCUGCUGUGUGGCCCCUAGCAGGCCAUGGACCAGUACUGAUCUGUGACCCGGGGAUUUGGGACUCCUGAUCUAUUGUAGUUGCAUUGUUAGGAUGGGAGGAGGAAAGGAAUGUGGAGAAGAGAAGCACUGCAUUUAUCUGGUUAAAAAUACAGAAAUAUACACUAGCCCUGUAUCUUCCAGGUCCCCUGUAAUAACCUACUCUUAAACUCUGAGGUUUCCAUUUUGGACUCUAGUCAUGUCUUUGAUGCUUCAGGAGCUGGCUUAACAUUCAAUGAUGGCACCCAUUAAUUAUUUGAUUCAAGACUGCCUUUCAAUAGACUUUAAGCCCCACAAAGCCAAGGCCCUUGUCUAUUUUUGCUCCUCACAAUGCCUGGCACAUAGAAUAUACUCAAUAAAUACUUACUGAGGCAAGUUGAAUAGUGACCGGGGGAAGAGGAGGAGAAAGAAAGGAUUAAGUCCAAGCCCAUUGGCGUGACACACUAGAUAUGACCCUUGGAUUUGUUACCAGUCACUCCUUGCCCAUGUCCUUUAAGAUGUGGGUGUGAGUUGCCUUACACAUAAUGCUGUGUCAUACCUCAAAGCCUUCACACACUAUAUACCAUCUGCUGAACAUACCCUUCUCUUCCCUGUAAUCCAUUUGGUCAAACGUUAGGCACCAUUUAAAAAUUCUUCCAGGUGUGGAUGUCCUGAAGUUGGUGUUAAUUACGCCUCCCUUUAUGCUACCUGCACCUUGUGCAUGCAUAUAACCAAGUUGCCCUUUUACUUAUAUGCAGUGUUACUGCUACAGGUUUCAAUUUAUGGUUUCCAUGAGAGCUGUUCAUAGGCAGAGACUGGCUUCACCAUCUCCGCAUUUCUCUAGCAGAGAGUAUGCAGCAGACGUUCAUUCAAAAUUCAUCUGGCCACUGCUCAUGUUGAGUACUGCUCCAGGCACUGAGAAUACAACAGUUCACAAAACAUUCUCAAACCCUGCCCUCAUGGAGUUUAUCGUCUAAUUAUGGGAGAAUGACAAUAAACAAAAAUAGUACUGGAAAUACAUAAAAGAGCACUAGAAAACAGAGGGAAAGGAGAGACACAGAACAAAUGUGUGCAUGUGUAUGUGUGCAUACAUGUACACACGUAUACCAAGGAGAAUAUCUGAGGGAAAAGUGUUCCUAGCAGAAGGAACUGCAAAGUGCCAAAGCCCUGAGGUGAUUGUGUAAUCUGUCUGGAACACUCAAAGAACAGCAAGGGAGUAAGUACGGCAGGGUGAGAAUGAGCGAGGGAAGAGCAGCAAGAGAAAAUCUAGGUAAGGACGUGUGGAAGAAUAGACCAUAGGAGGUCAUGUAGGCCACUGUAGGACUUUGGUUUCCAUUCAGAGGAAAAAAAGAAGUCACUGGAUGGUUUUGAGUAAAGGAGUGGUGGGCACUAGCUCACAUCUUAACAGGGUCAUGCAGCAGCUAACCUGAGCACAGGCUUUAAGGGAACAACCACAGAAGCAAGGAGACAAGGUGGGAGGCUGUUGCACCAAUCCAGGGAAGAGAUGAAGAUGUCUCAGACCAAAAUGGUGGCAGAGGAUGUGUGAGAAGGGCUUCGAUUCUGAAUAUAUUUUGAAGAUAAAGACAACAGCAUUUGCAUGUGAAAUAUAAGAGAGAAAGAACAGUCAAGGAAAAUGAUCUGGGCUGAAGGGUCUCGGGACUGAAAGACGAAGAAGCUAUUAAUUGAGAUAGGGAAGACCAUGGGAGGAGUAAGUUUUGGGGGAGGUUACAUUUGAAAAGUCCAUUAGACAUCUUAGUAGUGAUAAUGAAUAGGCAAUUGUAUACAUGGGUCUAGAAUUUAGAGGAAAGACUGGCAAAGGAAUGGAAUUUAAAAAUCUGAUGCUGAAUGAAAUCACUAAAGAAAUGUAGGUAAAAGACAUCAUAGAGCUUAGCCCUGGGCUGUCCAAGAUUUCCAGUUGAUGAGGAAGUAUCAGCAAAGGAGACAAAGGAGCAGUCAGUGUGAUAGAAGGAAAACCAGAAAAGUGUGGUUCCAGAAACCAAGCAAAGUAUUUCAAAGAGGAUGGAAUAAUCCACCAUGUCAACUACUGCUCAUGGUCAAGUAAGAUUAGGGCUGAAAAUUUAUCCCUGGAUUUAGCAAUGUGAAGGUCAUGGGUGAUCUUGACAUGACUAGUUUAGCUGAGUGGUGUGGGUGAAAACAUAACUGGGGUAGGCUGAAGAAAGUGGAAGGAAAGCCAGUACACUCAAUUCUUUCAAGGAAUCUUCCUGUAAAGAAAAGAAAAAAAAAUGAGACACCUAGAGCAAUAUGAGGUCAAUGUGAUAGGAAUUAACAUUUUUACAUGGUGAUGGAGUUUCCAUUAGAACAGGAAAUACUCAUGAGGAGAGAGCAAAGGAUGAUUACGGCUCUGUAUGGAUACUUCUAGCAGAGAGGGGAUGGGGAAUGAGAUCUAGUGCCCACAUGGUGGGUUGGCCCUUGCUGGGAACAUAGUCAUUGGAGAUAAAGCAGAGCAUGCAGGCAAACAUGCAACUCCACAGGCGGGGUUGUAGAAAUGCCUGGAUGUUCUCUGUUUGCCUCUAUUUUCUCAAUGACACGGAAGCAAGUUCACUGGGGGAGCGUGAGAUGAGAAGGGGUUAUCAGAGGAUUAAGGAGGGGGAGAUGGCACAGAAGUCUUUUAGAAGAGUGGAAAAGUGAAUGGAAGAGGGAUAUUUAGUGCGAUGCCUGGGCAGCAAUAGAGGGCCAGUUGACCAUGAAUUGAGGGUGAGACUGGCCAGUGGUGUCCUGCCCAAGGUCAGCUUAUGGAUGUAGGUACAGGAACUAGACAUCAGGGGUUAAAGAUGUACCAAGCAAAUAUGAUAAAUAUUGAUUGAAUCAGAUUAAAUUGAGUGAAACUUGUUUCCUGUCAUCAUAUAGACAUCAGAGGGCCAUUUUCUCUUGGAAUCACACGCAUGUCCCACCAGCGUUUUGCCAUCUUUAAGACAAAAUCCACAAAACCCAGUAUGCUGAAAUACUCACCGCCCUUCAAAUCUGUGUUUUAAAAAAUCAAACAGCGCUUUUUGCAUCAUAUCUGUGACCUGCAAUUGAGCAAGCAAUAAAUUAAGAUAUGACCAAAAAAAAUUACUAACGAUGAUAAAACAAUUUUACUUCUCUUAGGAAUGCUUGAAAACCUGAGCUUUGCAUCUGGAAAGAGUGGCAAUAUGAGGUUGCCGCAUUUUUCUGCUUCUGAGUUCUGAUGCAAUGACAAUUAAACUGAACUUAUCAUGAUGUUUUAGUGACAAAUAACAUUGCAAGUGGUUUCAGUCGGUCUCCAUUUGACACUAUUUCCUGGACUGAGUACACUGCAGCUAGCAGAAAUCUUCAAAGCAACAGCCAGGUAAACAAAACAGAAAAAGGACGAAGCAGUGUAUACCAGUUUGCAGAACAACAGGCUUUGCUGCUGUGAGCUCUCUAAGCUCUAAAGUUGGCUCCUUAAGCUGUAAAAUUCAGAGAGAGGGUCGGGAGUAGGAGGCAGCAUCACAAAGAAGUUCAGCAUGCAAGUUAAGCUUCCUGUGGAAGGCUGCUACCCACCUCGUAGCCCUUCAGAGAAGGGCCCACUAGGACCACUGGUCGCAUGGAAGGUACCACAUCAUACGGAGGAGUGUGCUCUGUCUGCAGAGAGAGGAGAGGCUUUUAGACGUUUCACAGGCAGGUAGAACAUAAAUAUUUUGUGUAUAAGGUACUCUUUCUGAACUCCAUAAUAUGAGGCACUGGCUUUCCAGACAUUUUAUUUUCCCCACUUGCCUCUUUUCUACAUAAACCCAGUCAAAGAUUGGUGGGUUCAUUUUCCUGAAGUUUCAAGUUACUGUUGUCUACAGUCUUCUUGCUCAUCUCAAGAAAUGCUACAGACCUAUUCGUUCCUAAAGCAAGAGAUGCUGCUUUUGAACAAAAACUAGUUGACAGAACAAAGAGAAACAUGCCUCAUGCAAGAUAGGUGCUUUAGGCUUGACUAGAAGUUAAUAUUGCUUUUCGGCUGCAUUUGAAUUUUCUAAAGAGUUGUAGUGAUUAGACCUAACAUGGUUAAUUACAGAGGAAAGAAAGAUUGCAUUACCUUUGCAUCUUAGGUUUUUGUCUUACCUGUGUAAAACCUCAUUUCAAAAUAUUAUAACUCUCACUACCAAUACUUUUUACCUAAUCUCAAAAUAUUGUAACUCUCACUACUGUCAAAAUUCUAUAUUAUUGUGAGAGUUUAAAUGAACAUGCAUGCUUAUUUUAGUAAACAGUAAUCAUGAUCCCUGCUCACAGCUUAGUGAUUAAUGCUAUUGAAUUUUUUGGUUUCUAUACCUUGGUACUUCAAAGGUAAGGUUUAUGUGUCUUCGAGGGAAGGUGAUUAAUGUAUAAUAAUAUAUUCAACCAUGCUAUUGUGGUCUCAAAAGGUUCAUUAUCAAUGUGCAUAUCUAAUAUGAUUCUCAAAAGUAGUUUUCUGUCAGAUAACUAAUGACAUCUUUCUGCAGUAAAUUAUUUCUUUUUAAUAAGAGGGGAGGAGCUAAAUUUUGUAGCAAUUUCUAAAACUGUCAACACUUUUCAGGUUAAUUGCUUCAAAUAAAAUGGUAAAAUAACAUCUUUCCAAAAAUUAGGUAACAGCAAAUUGGUUUAUAUUAAAAUUGGCUCUUUUGAUAGCAUAAAAUGCUAAAUUGACCCAAAAAUGACUUUUUAAAAAAAUGCAUAAGAGUGAUAUGGCCUUAGACACUGCGAUAAGCAAAUCAUUGCUAUAUGAAUCUUUCUGGCUAAGGAGUGUCAAAAAAUAUAACUUGAGAAUCACACACACCAACAGAAAAAUGUUCUGUAAAUGAUUUUAAGAAUUCAGUACACUGAUGUGCAGAUAUGAAUGUCAUUUUUGCAUCUGCCCGUCACUCAAGAACAUUUUAUUGUUGCUUAAAAUUGCCCAUUACAAACUUUUCUGGCUUCAUUUGAAUUCACAUUGCCUCAGGGGAGAAUUAAAAAGCAUUUCAAAUUCAAAAGCUUCCAUCUGAGAUUUUACCCGUAGUCACAGACGAUAUAAUCAGAGGGAAGAAAAAUAUUACCAUGACUGUGCUGUCAAAUUUCACUGCCUAAAAUUUCACCUAGCAUUCAGAAUUAAUUUUAAUUGACACAAUCAAGGUAGAAUACAGUUUUGAACAGAAAAAAAAAAAACAAGACAAACAUAAUACAGUGACAGCACACGUACCACACAAGCACCACUCUAAAAGCAACCUAAAACAUAGAAAACGAUCUUCUCAUUGAAUCUCAGGCUGUUGUUUUGUUUUUGAAUUCUACAUUGAUGUUAACCACAUUAUCAAUAACAUAAGAAGAAUGAAUACCAGUGCCGAAGGCAUCAUAAGCAUAUUUCUUAAACUAUUUCAUUUAUACCACCUGGGAUCAUACUGAAAACGUUUAGAAGCCAAGUCCUGAUAACUAUGCGGUGUAAGAACACCUUUUCCACCGUUGAAAUUAUGAAUGUAAAUUUCCUGCAUUUUAGUAACAGCUACCAAGAAAUUUUAUCUCAAGACUUUAAUUCUGAAGUGGCCCAGUGUUUGAUAGGUCUUUGGUUCCUUCGAUCUGUAACUGCCAACUAGCAAAGGGUCACCCGUUGCUGGUAAUCAAUCAGCUUCUUAAUCAAUAGGGUAGCUACAGAAAUUACCUUAUUUGAUGGAAUAUUGGUGCUUUGUGCCCUAUGAAGAAUGACGCCAUCAUUUUUAUCUACUCUUCCCUGUUAACCCCAUUUAGCUUGAUUUUUUUUUUCUUUUUUUUGAGACAGAGUUAUCUAGCUCUGUUGCCCAGGCCGGAGUGCAGUGGCAUGGUCUCGGCUCACUGCAAUCUCCGCCUUCCGGGUUUAAGCAAUUCUUCUGCCACAGCCUCCCAAGUAGCUGGGAUUACAGGUGCCUGCCACCAUGCCAGGCUAAUUUUUUGUAUUUUUAGCAGAGAUGAGGUUUCACCAUGUUGGCCAGGCUGGUCUCAAAACUCCUGACCACAGGUGAUGCACCUGCCUCAGCCUCCUAAAGGGCUGGGAUUACAGGUGUGAGCCAUUGCGCCCUGCCUGCUCAAAUUAUUUAGUGAAAAAAUUGUGAUAAAAGUUUUUAAAGUUUUAGAAUUUAAAGGUAAGCAAACUUCACAAACCUAUCUUGACAAACAGGGUUUUAGCUCACAUUCCUGCUCCGUCAAGGCCCAAAUGUCUUAGCGAUGCCGAUUUUCUAAGCUUCUGAAUGAUAGACACUGUUAGUCACUUGGCUGCAAGCUUUAGCUGUAACAAGAAGAUCGGACCCCAGAAAUGGGCCCACUGUUGUGGGUGAACAUCAAGCUGAGGCUAUGUUAACACAAAAAUCCAAGUGUUGCAAUUUUUGCCCAGAGUGCUGAAGUUUUCCCUUAUUAAAAUAAUCAUAAUUGAUUCAAAAAAAGCCAACUUUACAGUUCUGUAUCUGACACCUCAUUAAUGACUUGAGUUCCUCCACAAACCAAAAUACAUGUUUGCAGAGGAAAAGUGUUCAUUAUGUGGAGAGUUUGGGGGCAGAGGAUAGACAGAUUUGACAUCACAUCUGCGUGUGAGAAUAUAUCCAUGGUUUUGCCAGACUUGGCGACAUUAGUAUGAUUCUAAAAGACAGCAUGGUAGCUGUGGAAACUGAUGGGUAAAAGAGGGGAAAAAAAGGGAAAUUUGGGGGGAGGUUAGUGGUCCUUAAAAAAUAAUGCUUUAAAGCUACAAAAUGGGUGAGGAAAAGGCUUUGUCUGAAGUAAGGAGAGCUCAGGAAUACCCUAUAGUUUCCAUUUAGGGGACAAGGAGCCUCGCUGUGUAGCAUCUUGGAUGGCCAAUGGCAAAGGCUCUACGCAUGACCACUGGCUGCACUGUCCAAAGGGUGAGAUGGUAAAAUCUGACUGAUGGAGAAGGCAAGAACAUCGGGAGAAUAUUUAUAUAUGACAAUAGGAAAAACUCACAGUAAACCGCCAAAACAAGCCUGCAGUUUUCCACUGGUCUUGUUCAUCUGCAGAUUUUGCACCUAGUGGAUUAGAAGUUUAAAUACUGACUAAAUUAAAACUUGAAUACUUUUUUUUUUAGUACAAGCUAUGUAUCUGGAUAUCAUAAGUCAGAAUUUAAUAACUGCUUUAAUAUGUUUGAUCAUAAGUUAAAUUUCUGGAUAAAAGAAAGAGAUAGAAUAAGCAUGCACAAUUUAGGUGCAUUAUGUGGAGCUGUCAGUGUUUGACAUCCCUGAAUGUUGAAACAAAUUCCCUUGGUGGUAGAUAUUAUUCCAUCAAAAAGGAUAAGUACUGUAAUGGUGUUUUAACAGGUCACUCCCUGAAUUUAGUUGGUUUGAAAUGCAUGAACUCAAUUAGCUGUUGAUAGGUUCUUUGCUUGGGACAGAAAUGAUUGUAUUUAAUACAACUGUGGGAAUUAAUGCUAAUGAUGCCAGUGGCAGGAUAAACACAGCUUAUGUCAAUGUAAACUUACCGAUUUCUGCUUCUGCUUAGCUACAGCAGCAUGGAAAAGAAACAAAUAACAGAGCAUGCACGUUAUUGGCUUAUCAAAGGACGCAGACAGUCAACAGGACUAGAAAUGUGACGCAGUGCAGUUGAGCAGACUAUGGAAAUGAUGUCAGACAAAAAGCGAAUUUGAGUGACUUUCUUAUUCGAGUUCAAAAUGGGUCGUAAAGCAGUGGAGACAACUUGCAAUAUCAACAAUGCAUUUGGCCCAGGAACUGCUAAUGAACGUACAGUGCGGUGGUGGUUCACGAAGCUUUGCAAAGGAGACGAGGGACUUGAAGAUGAGGAGCAUAGUGGCUGACCAUUGGAAGUUGACAGCGACUACUCAAGAACAAUAAUCAAAGCUGAUUCUCUUACAACUACACGAGAAGUUGCUGAAGAAUUCAACAUUGACCAUUCUAUGGUCUUUCUACAUUUGAAGCAAAUCGGAAAGGUGAAAAAACUCAAUAAGUAGGUGCCUCAUGAGCCAAGCAAAAAUAAAUUGUUGUUUGGAAGCAUCUUCUCUUAUUCUGUGCAACAACAAUGAACCAUUUCUCAGUCGGAUUGUGACGUGGGACGAAAAUUGGAUUUUAUAUGACAACCACUGACAACCAGCUCAGCUGUUGGACUGAGAAGCUCCAAAGCCAAACUUGCACCAAAAAAAAAAAAAAAAAAAAGGUUAUGGUCACUGUUUGGUGGGCUGCUGCCGGUGUGAUCCACUAUAGCUUUCUGAAUCCCAGCGAAAACAUCACAUCUGAGAAGUAUGCUCAGCAGAUCGAUGAGAUGCAGCGAAAACUGCAACACCUGCAGCCGGCGUCGGUCAACAAAAAGGGCCCAGUUCUUCUCCGUGACAACGCCUGGCUGCACAUCACACAACCGGCGCUUCAAAAGUUGAAUGAAUUGGGCUACGAAGUUUUGCCUCAUCCAUCAUAUUCACAUGACCUCUUGCCAACCAACUACCAUUUCUUCAAGCAUCUUGACAACUUUUUGCAGAGAAAAUUCUUCCACAACCAGCAGGAUGCAGAAAGUGCUUUUCAAGAGUUUGCCGAAUCCCAAAGCAUGGAGUUUUAUGCUACAGGAAUAAACACACUUAUUUCUCCUUGGCAAAAAUGUGUUGAUUGUAGUGUUUCCUAUUUUGAUUAAUAAAGAUGUAUUUAGGCCUA